AGUGUGUGUGUGUGUGUGUGUGUGUGUGUACACGACAAUAAUAUUAUGUCGACGUACGUGUGUUUGAAUAUACACAUACACACACACACACACACGCGCU